rnacentral:rRNA from 1 species
UACGUAGGUGGCAAGCGUUGUUCGGAAUUAUUGGGCGUAAAGAGCUCGUAGGCGGUCUGUCGCGUCGGUCGUGAAAACUUGGGGCUUAACCCUGAGCUUGCGGUCGAUACGGGCAUGACUGGAGUUCGGUAGGGGAGACUGGAAUUCCUGGUGUAGCGGUGAAAUGCGCAGAUAUCAGGAGGAACACCGGUGGCGAAGGCGGGUCUCUGGGCCGAUACUGACGCUGAGGAGCGAAAGCGUGGGGAGCGAACAGG